GGCCAGUUAGCUCAGUGGGUUGAGCGCAGUGCUGAAAACAAUGACAACACUGAGGUCGCGGGUUCGAUUCCCGCUCGGUCCC
rfam:Apaloderma vittatum contig46, whole genome shotgun sequence.